rnacentral:rRNA from 1 species
GCAAGUCGUGCGAGAAAGUUCUUCGGAUAUGAGUAGAGCGGCGGACGGGUGAGUAACGCGUAGGAAUCUACCUAGUAGAAGGGGAUAGCCCGGGGAAACCCGGAUUAAUACCGUAUACCUCCUUCGGGAGAAAGAAGGCCUCUCUUUGAAGCUUUCGCUACUAGAUGAGCCUGCGUAAGAUUAGCUUGUUGGUGAGGUAAAGGCUCACCAAGGCAACGAUCUUUAGCUGGUCUGAGAGGACGAUCAGCCACAUUGGGACUGAGACACGGCCCAGACUCCUACGGGAGGCAGCAGUGGGGAAUAUUGGACAAUGGGCGCAAGCCUGAUCCAGCCAUACCGCGUGUGUGAAGAAGGCCUUCGGGUUGUAAAGCACUUUAAGCAGGGAGAAAAAGUUAUAAGUUAAUACCUUAUAGCCUUGAUGUUACCUGCAGAAUAAGCACCGGCUAAUUCCGUGCCAGCAGCCGCGGUAAUACGGAAGGUGCAAGCGUUAAUCGGAAUUACUGGGCGUAAAGCGCGCGUAGGUGGUUUGUUAAGUUGGAUGUGAAAGCCCUGGGCUCAACCUAGGAACUGCAUCCAAAACUAACUCACUAGAGUACGAUAGAGGGAGGUAGAAUUCAUAGCGUAGCGGUGGAAUGCGUAGAUAUUAUGAAGAAUACCAGUGGCGAAGGCGGCCUCCUGGAUCUGUACUGACACUGAGGUGCGAAAGCGUGGGUAGCGAACAGGAUUAGAUACCCUGGUAGUCCACGCCGUAAACGAUGACAACUAGCUGUUGGGAGACAAAGUCUUUCAGUGGCGCAGCUAACGCUUU